AUGGGCGGCGAGAAGGAGAACCUCGACCUCUCCGACCUCAACAGCUCCCUCCCCGCCGCCGCCGCCGCCCUCAGCGCCGAGGACCGCGUCGGUCUCGUCAAUGCCCUGAAGGAUAAGCUGCAGAGCUUGGCGGGGCAGCACGCGGACGUGCUCGAGUCGCUCUCGCCCAAUGUCAGGACGCGUGUUGAGUUUCUGAGGGGCAUUCAGAGCCAACAUGAUGAGAUUGAGGCGAAGUUUUUUGAGGAACGGGCUGCCCUUGAAGCCAAGUACCAGAAGCUGUAUGAACCAUUGUAUGCUAAGAGGUAUGACAUUGUAAAUGGAGUUGUGGAGGUUGAUGGUGCUGCUAAAGAACCUACCAGUGAAAAUGCUGCCGAGGGGGGAGAUUCAGAUGCUAAAGGAAUCCCAGAUUUUUGGCUCACUGCUUUGAAAACAAAUGACGUGCUGACUGAGGAGAUCCAAGAGCGUGAUGAGCCUGUUUUGAAAUAUCUAAAGGAUAUCAAGUGGUCUAGAAUUGAUGACCCUAAGGGUUUCAAGCUUGAGUUUUUCAUUGAUACAAACCCUUUCUUCAAGAACUCUGUCCUAACAAAAUCCUAUCAUAUGGUUGAUGAGGAUGACCCAAUUUUGGAGAAAGCAAUCGGGACUGAAAUUGAGUGGUAUCCUGGGAAAAAUGUGACACAGAAGAUUCUAAAGAAGAAACCCAAGAAAGGUUCAAAGAACACCAAACCUAUUACUAAAACUGAAGAGUGCGAGAGCUUCUUCAACUUUUUCAGCCCCCCACAAGUACCUGAUGAUGAUGAGGACAUUGAUGAAGAAGCCGCUGAUGAGCUUCAGGGUCAAAUGGAGCAUGAUUAUGACAUUGGGUCUACCAUAAGGGACAAGAUCAUCCCUCAUGCUGUUUCUUGGUUUACUGGUGAGGCUGUGCAAGCUGAGGAUUUCGAUGAUAUGGAAGAUGGUGACGAGGAUGACGACGACGAUGAUGAUGAUGAUGAAGAAGAUGAUGAGGAUGAUGAGGACGAGGACGAAGACGAUGAUGAAGAUGAGGAAGAGCUAAGCAAGCCGACGAAGAAGGUGGCGGGCAAACCGAAGGGACCUGCAAAGGGUGGCGCACAAGGGAACGCCGAGCAACCGACGGAGUGCAAGCAGCAGUAG
rnacentral:rRNA from 1 species